GACGAAUGCUGGCGGCGUGCUUAACACAUGCAAGUCGAACGGAAAGGCCCCCUUGUGGGGUACUCGAGUGGCGAACGGGUGAGUAACACGUGAGUAACCUACCCUUGACUUUGGGAUAACUUCAGGAAACUGGGGCUAAUACCGGAUAGGAGCUCCUGCUGCAUGGUGGGGGUUGGAAAGUUUCGGCGGUUGGGGAUGGACUCGCGGCUUAUCAGCUUGUUGGUGGGGUAGUGGCUCACCAAGGCUUUGACGGGUAGCCGGCCUGAGAGGGUGACCGGCCACAUUGGGACUGAGAUACGGCCCAGACUCCUACGGGAGGCAGCAGUGGGGAAUAUUGCACAAUGGGCGGAAGCCUGAUGCAGCAACGCCGCGUGCGGGAUGACGGCCUUUGGGUUGUAAACCGCCUUCGCCUGUGACGAAGCGUGAGUGACGGUAAUGGGUAAAGAAGCACCGGCUAACUACGUG
rnacentral:rRNA from 1 species